rnacentral:rRNA from 1 species
AACGGCGAGUGAACAGGGAAAAGCCCAAAUUUGUAAUCUGGCACUUUUUACAAGUGUCCGAGUUGUAAUUUGUAGAGCUGUUAUCCGUACUGGACCAUGUACAAGUCUGUUGAAAAGCAGCAUCAUUGAAGGUGAAAAUCCUGUAGAUGAUAUGGACUACCAGUAUAUUUGUGAUACGGUUUCUAAGAGUCGAGUUGUUUGGGAAUGCAGCUCAAAGUGGGUGGUAAAUUCCAUCUAAGGCUAAAUAUAAGUGAGAGACCGAUAGCAAACAAGUACCGUGAGGGAAAGAUGAAAAGAACUUUGAAAAUAGAGUUAACAGUACGUGAAAUUGCUGAAAGGGAAACGUUUGAAGUUAGUUUUGUAUUCGUUGGAUCAGCUUCGCAAGGAGUGUAUUCUGAUGAUAAGCAAGUCAACAUCAGUCUAUGAGUGUUGGAUAAGGGUUUUGAGAAUGUAGCAAUUUAAUUGUGUUAUAGCUUGAGACUUGGAUACAAUGCUUUGGAUUGAGGAACGCGUAGUAAGCUUUGAGCGGAUUCGAAAGGAUCUCCUUACUAUGGAUGUGGGUGAAAUAACUUUAAGCGACCCGUCU